rnacentral:lncRNA from 1 species
AUAGUCAUUAUUUCUUUUGUUCUGAACACACUCUUUCAACUGUAUCUCCCAGUUUUCCUGUGUGCUGUCCCCUAGACAUCCCCUGAUUUUUUCUGCCUCUAUUUUAGCUCACAUUGUUUUGUUCACCUGAAACACCCCUUUGCCUUUUCCUAACUCAGACCAAUUCCCCAGUCAUUCUCCCCCCACCAGCUCCUCUCCUUUGUGCACUGUAGCGCCUUGUAAUUUGGCACCUGUUGCAAAGGUAGAAAAGAGCAUUUUGUAAAUUGUAAAGUGCUGCGCAAACUUAUUAUCUGUCUUCCUAAACUGCAAGCUCACUUAGGGCAGAAAAUGAGCUUUUUCCCUAAUUGCAUACAUAAAACUACUUAACGUUGUGUCUUGUACGUACUCUAUAUUUAUUAAAGUUUGAAUGAAUUAGGGAUAGGUGAUUUGGUGGCUGGCCUACCGUCCAGUGGAAUAGGGUGUCUGAGGUAAGGGGGGAAGGACAGAGUUUUUUUGUAAUAAACUGAUUUUAGGCAAUUUAUUUUUCAACAGGAGAUGUGGGACAUGUGGAUUUGGGAUAUGAAUUCAUUUGAAAAGCCACUUUGGGGUAAGUUGAUAGCUGGGAGUAAUUGGCUUUAGGGUUGUACUUCUGUUUAUAUUGGGGUUUGCUCUUACUUAUGUUGAUUGGACUUUAUGCCUCAUAUGCACACCAGAAAAUGGCUUGAACUAAAAUCCCAGUUUAGUAAUUUGAGAAGUAAAAUCAUCAAGCAUAGCCGCAGUAUUCAUUAGUUUGUACAUUCACUUCUCAUUCAGGAGGUCAGUUUGAAGGCUAAAUGAAGACCAGGUUUGGAAAUAAAGAUACUUAUUACAUAGGAUUUAACUGCUUGAGCUCAACCAAUAAUCCUGUCAUGUGGACUGGAAAGCACUUACAGCACCAGUGUUGGAGAUGGAGGGUCAAAGUUUGUCUUUGAGCUUCUCUUCGCAGUACUCCAAAUGGCUGUUUGAAUUCUCAUUGCGUCAGUACAAACAUAAAAGCUUCCCAGUGUUUUGUUUCAUCUAAGAAAGAGCCACUAGAAAUACUAUUUAAUAUUUACUGUUUACUGAGUAUAUGAGUGUGUUUUGCAUUAUUUCAUUUCAUUCAGUGCAAUGGGACCAUAACAUGGGUUUAGUCUUUAUUUCUUGUUCAGGGGAAUAAAGAGGCCCAGGUUUAUGCAAAUAAAGUCCAAUUGCUAGGAUCACAUAACAAAUGUUUUAGAAUUGAAAGUGAAUUUCAGCAUUUUGACAUAAUAGACACUCAGUUUUGUUUUAAAAUGCUGAUUGUUCAGUUCCUCUUGUGGUUCAGCGGAAACGAAUCUGACUAGUAUCCAUGAGGAUGCAGGUUCGACCCCUGGCCUUGCUCAGUGGAUUAAGGAGCUGGCGCUGCCUUAGCUGUGGCGUAGGUAGCAGCCAUGGCUCGGAUCUGGCGUUGCUGUGGCUAUGGUGUAGGCCAGUGGCUACAGCUCCGAUUCGACCCCUAGCCUGGGAACCUCCAUAUGCCACAGGUGUGGCC